GACCGGCGCACGGGUGAGUAACACGUAUCCAACCUGCCGUCUACUCUUGGACAGCCUUCUGAAAGGAAGAUUAAUACAAGAUGGCAUCAUGAGUCCGCAUGUUCACAUGAUUAAAGGUAUUCCGGUAGACGAUGGGGAUGCGUUCCAUUAGAUAGUAGGCGGGGUAACGGCCCACCUAGUCUUCGAUGGAUAGGGGUUCUGAGAGGAAGGUCCCCCACAUUGGAACUGAGACACGGUCCAAACUCCUACGGGAGGCAGCAGUGAGGAAUAUUGGUCAAUGGGCGAGAGUCUGAACCAGCCAAGUAGCGUGAAGGAUGACUGCCCUAUGGGUUGUAAACUUCUUUUAUAAAGGAAUAAAGUCGGGUAUGCAUACCCGUUUGCAUGUACUUUAUGAAUAAGGAUCGGCUAACUCCGUGCCAGCAGCCGCGGUAAUACGGAGGAUCCGAGCGUUAUCCGGAUUUAUUGGGUUUAAAGGGAGCGUAGAUGGAUGUUUAAGUCAGUUGUGAAAGUUUGCGGCUCAACCGUAAAAUUGCAGUUGAUACUGGAUAUCUUGAGUGCAGUUGAGGCAGGCGGAAUUCGUGGUGUAGCGGUGAAAUGCUUAGAUAUCACGAAGAACUCCGAUUGCGAAGGCAGCCUGCUAAGCUGCAACUGACAUUGAGGCUCGAAAGUGUGGGUAUCAAACAGGAUUAGAUACCCUGGUAGUCCACACGGUAAACGAUGAAUACUCGCUGUUUGCGAUAUACAGCAAGCGGCCAAGCGAAAGCGUUAAGUAUUCCACCUGGGGAGUA
rnacentral:rRNA from 1 species